GACAGAGGAUGCAAGCGUUAUCCGGAAUGAUUGGGCGUAAAGCGUCUGUAGGUGGCUUUUUAAGUCCGCCGUCAAAUCCCAGGGCUCAACCCUGGACAGGCGGUGGAAACUACCAAGCUGGAGUACGGUAGGGGGCAGAGGGAAUUUCCGGUGGAGCGGUGGAAAUGCGUAGAGAUCGGAAAGAACACCACGGCGAAAGCAGCUCUGCUGGGCCGAACACUGACACUGGAGAGACGAAAGCUAGG
rnacentral:rRNA from 1 species